rnacentral:lncRNA from 1 species
AUGCUGCCCCCUUACCCUGGCUUCAUUUUUCAAGAUUCAAGUCCAGCGUCAUUUCCUGGAAAAGACUCCUCUCUGCAGCUGCUGAGUCACGCUUGGACCCUCAAAUGUAACCCCGAAUAUCAGCAGCAGACCCCCCCACCCCUGGGGGAAAAGUCUCCAAUCAGAGAUCCUCUGAGGCGAGCCAAGAGCGGUUUUGGAGGGAGCAGCGCAUAUUUUGAGGGAAGAAGCCCCAUGAGAGCCUCCCUGCAAGAAGCCAGAACAUUAUCACCAACCCCUCUCCUCUGUCCCCUCAAAGGCCUCUCCUGA